AGUGAACGCUGGCGGUAGGCCUAACACAUGCAAGUCGAACGGCAGCACAGUAAGAGCUUGCUCUUACGGGUGGCGAGUGGCGGACGGGUGAGGAAUACAUCGGAAUCUACUUUUUCGUGGGGGAUAACGUAGGGAAACUUACGCUAAUACCGCAUAUGACCUACGGGUGAAAGCAGGGGAUCUUCGGACCUUGCGCGAUUGAAUGAGCCGAUGUCGGGUUAGCUAGUUGGCGGGGUAAAGGCCCACCAAGGCGACGAUACGUAGCUGGUCUGAGAGGAUGAUCAGCCACACUGGAACUGAGACACGGUCCAGACUCCUACGGGAGGCAGCAGUGGGGAAUAUUGGACAAUGGGCGCAAGCCUGAUCCAGCCAUACCGCGUGAGUGAAGAAGGCCUUCGGGUUGUAAAGCCCUUUUGUUGGGAAAGAAAAGCAGCAGGUUAAUACCCCGCUGUUCUGACGGUACCCAAAGAAUAAGCACCGGCUAACUUCGUG
rnacentral:rRNA from 1 species